GGGGUUGUGGUUCAGUGGUAGAGCACUCACCUUGCACAUGGAAGACCCUGGGUUCGAUCCUCAGCACCA
rfam:Ictidomys tridecemlineatus contig053998, whole genome shotgun sequence.